AGGGAGAGAGAGAGAGAGAGAGAGAGAGAGAGAGAGAGAGAGAGAGAGAGAGGAUUACCUCCAAAAGAUGAUCUGCCCCAAGGAAGCCAUGGAGAGGGAGUUCCUUCCCACAGUCCUGCUGUGUGUGGGGCCAGAUUUUGGUCCUAGCACCAACCCAGACAUAAAAGGACUGUAACAAUUGAUGGAUGGGAAGAGGGAUGGGCUUGGACUGUGACCCAUCAAUCAAGCACCUCCUGGAGCUGUCUGACGAGCUGGAUUGACACUGCUAAGGGUGGAAGAGAGCAUGCUGCAUUGGGAAAGAAGGAGCCAUUUAGGCUUGAGCACAAGAGGAAAAAGGGAAGCAAAAGUAAUUUGUUUCUUGAAAUAAAAUCAGCUUCCUUUUUAUUGAUCUUGAGAAAGAAAGUGACAGAGACAAACUGAAUGCAUGUGGACCCCAAAAGCCCUCCUGUGAACGUUUUAGGUGAUUCAUACAGCUGGGCUUCAAACUUCUCACUUAGUAUUGUACAUCUGUCUGUGUGCCAGGCUUCAUGUCUCCUGGGACAGCGAAUCCUGGCCGGGAUAGGAAGAGCAUCCACACCUGUGUGAGGCGUCUGCAGUUUUCACACAAGACCCUGAGCUCACAUGACCCUUACCACAAAUAACCUUGGGCAGGAGUAUUACAACUGGGGAGACUAAGCCUCAGAGAUGAGCGAGCUGUCCAAAGCCUACCAGUCUGGGUUUCCCAGGGUCUUACUUGCUGUCAUAUAUAUAUAUAUGAAAUCAUAUUAACAAAAAU
rnacentral:lncRNA from 1 species